UACGUAGGGAGCAAGCGUUGUUCGGAUUUACCGGGCGUAAAGGGCGCGUAGGCGGCGCGGUAAGUCACUUGUGAAAUCUCUGAGCUUAACUCAGAACGGCCAAGUGAUACUGCAGUGCUAGAGUGCAGAAAGGGCAAUCAGAAUUCUUGGUGUAGCGGUGAAAUGCGUAGAUAUCAAGAGGAAUACCUGAGGUGAAGACGGGUUGCUAGGCCGACACUGACGCUGAAGCGCGAAAGCUAGGGGAGCAAACGGG
rnacentral:rRNA from 1 species